rnacentral:lncRNA from 1 species
AGUAUACUACCCAUCCCCAAACCCGAACUUAAUACCCUAUACCCAAACCCUACCCGAUACCCAAUCGGGUAAGAAAAGAGAUACCCAUCCCCAUACCCAACGGAUUCGGGGAUACCCGUGGGUAACCCAUUUCCCCAUACCCAAUCCAUACCCGCCCCAUACCCAACCCAUACCCAUCCAUUCUAUACAAAAAAAAAAGUAAAUAAUUUUAUGCAUACUAUCAAUCAAAAAUAGAAUUACCAAUUAUAUAUACAUACAUACAUACAUACGCACAUACACACUUCUAACACACACACACAUACAUACAUGCAUACAUAUAUGCAUGCAUACAUAUACAUACAUACAUAUAUAUAAUUAUAUAUAUAUAGAGAGAGAGAGAGAGAAAGAGAGAGAGAUCAUAUAUAUGUGUGUGUGUAUAUGUGUGUGUGUGUAUAUGUGUGUGUGUGUAUAUAUAUAUAUAUAUAUAUAUAUAUAUAUAUAUAUAUAUAUAUAUAUAUAUAUAUAUAUAUAUAUAUAUAU